rnacentral:lncRNA from 1 species
ACAAAAUGUCAGGAGUGGCGCUUGUGCUGAUAUAAACCAACUCAUAUCUCCUGACACUGAACCCAUUCAAGACGUCUCUAGUGAAAGUCACUUCAUAGAACCAACCAUGGACUUAACAUGUCAUGGGGUCUCCUACGGAGACAGUGCAUUGUGUUUUGCUAUAAAAAAUAGAAGUGAACCAACAAAGAUAAAACUUGACUCUGUUGUUGACGUAACAAAAUUGAUGGAAACUUCAGCGACUGUGUUCAUUCAAGAGAAAGACCCUGAUUUAGGAUGUGAAAGCUCUCAAACAAAACUAACAAUGGAUUCUAGUGUAGGAGACUAUUUUGACACCAGUGAAUCAACAAAAAGCACAAAAAACACAAAUGAUUCUAAUGUUGGGCACAUUCGGGAAGAGAUUAGAAAUAAAAGAAUUGUGAAAGAACUGAAUAUGGACUUAACAUGUCUUGAAGAUUCUUAUAAGGACAAAAUGCAGCAGUCAGCCAUAGUCAAUACCAGUAAUGGCACCAUUGUUGAACUUGAUACAACAAACAAUACAACUGACUUAGGGGCCAUCCAUAGAAAACGCUCAGAAAUUGCAAGUGAGAGUUACAAGCUACACGAUCUGUGGUACUUUGGAGCUCUGUGUAAAGAGGGCAGUUUGGAUUCAGUAAGUGCUGAAUCAGUGGAUACAGCCAAACCCAUUUAUAAUCCAGUCAUUCAUACAAAUAGUGUUGAAUCAGAUGACUUUGCAGAUGUAGAGGUCUUCUCCAGUUUUAGUAAUGAUUCAGAAAUGUAUCAUUCUGCAGCAGAGUCAAUGGAGGACUCCUGCCCCCCCUCCAUACAAAAUUCACCUUGUAAUGUAUCCAUACGUAUUAAUGACGGUUUAGAAGACAGAGGAAUGCAUUCAUGUCGGCAACGCGACAGUAGCCGGCCCCACAUUGAGACAUCUCAGAUUUUUCCAUCUGCUUACCCAGGCGCUGACAACACGCCAAAUGACAACUCCACAUGCAGUGAUUGCACCAAAAGCACAGCGCUCAGCAUGUCAGUAGACACACCUACAUCUGCUAGCAAUUCAUCAAGCUCUUUGG